UACGAAGGGGGCUAGCGUUGCUCGGAAUCACUGGGCGUAAAGGGUGCGUAGGCGGGUCUUUUAAGUCAGGGGUGAAAUCCUGGAGCUCAACUCCAGAACUGCCUUUGAUACUGGCGAUCUUGAGUCCGGGAGAGGUGAGUGGAACUGCGAGUGUAGAGGUGAAAUUCGUAGAUAUUCGCAAGAACACCAGUGGCGAAGGCGGCUCACUGGCCCGGAACUGACGCUGAGGUGCG
rnacentral:rRNA from 1 species